CCCAGAUUAGAUUGUACCCUGGCAAAUAAGCAAGAGUUCUUUUUCAUUUUCAUCUUGCAAUUCAACUGGGUAUUUGGGUUCUUUUUCUAUUCACUCAUGUCAGAUAGAGACAUACAUGUUGUAAAUUAUUUUGUCAGAAUGAAAGCCUGGCAGAUUAAAUGCUUUCUUCUCUUCUUGCUUUACUUGAUAUCAAUCUCUUGUUCAUUUCUUGAUAAUAUGUUUGGUUAUUUUUGUUUUCAUUGCUUUUAGUGUCAGAGAUGGCUUUGGAUUCCCCGUUCUGUGUGCUGCUGUCUGGCUCCUGAACCCAGCUGUAGAGGUGUGUCAAUCCCAACUGGUGAAGUACUGAGAGGAAGCUACACAAAAGGCAGCAAAGUAUUAGUGAGUGGUGUCAUUGAGCAAACACGAAGUCGGGCUCAUCCAAGGAUGAGAUUUUGCCAGAGAAAGGACGAGCAGCAAGUCAGGGAGCUUAAGGUAAUUAUGGGAAAGUGACUAUCUACAAUUGCUUAGGUAGAAGGAGACAGAUUGGAUUUUUGUGUGUUUGGUAUUUGGGAUAAGAGGGA
rnacentral:lncRNA from 1 species